GCGAGGCCAUCAGGACAGGAGGCGCAUGCGCGAAAGGGGCACCUGCGGAGGCUGGAGUGGGUAUGUGGAGGGCGAUACUGGGCAGCAGGGGGGUGCUGCCCCCCAUCACUUCACAGUAGCAAGUGUGAAACUGGGAGAAAAGGGGGCACAGGCUACAGGUGCUGCCCUCCAGGAUGGAGGCAGAGAGUACUGCAACCCUUUCAGCUGAUCCAGCCUUUCAUCCCUGGCUGCUUAGUUCACUCCGAGACAGCACCGAGAUGCAUCUCCACCCCAUAGCAGAUACACACACACUGCAGAGGAAGACCAGGAAAAACCCAAUGUGAAGACCAGGAAAGCGACUGCUGCUCGUCCUAGCUUGACUAUCAGUGAAUUGCCAAGUACCAAAGACAUUUUUUCCACACAGUGCAUUCAGUGGCGUGAUGCAACUACUGCCCCCAGCCAGGGGAGAAAACAGUGCUGACAUCAGGCCUUCUCCAACAAGAAGUGAUUUCAAAAGAAGGAUGCCAGUGUAAAUCAAAAUAAUAUUAUCAUCAUUAUAAUGAACACGUGUCAACACAGAAUGAGGCCUAACUUGAAGAACAAGCAAGCUAAGUACCCUAUGAUCUCCCUUGCAGGCAGCAGGAAACAAACUCGCUCCCGGUUCCUGCAGUACUCUGGCAACAUCAGUGACAUUAAGAGAAAUAAAUGACUGCAUCUCACUAUGGCCAACAGGUCCAGCAAGUUCUGUUUAACAGCAACAGGAAGGACUACCAGUGAAGGAACUCUUUUCUCUUGGAUUACCACACCAUCCAUUUGAUCAGUAAAAUAAGAGGCUGCAAGAUGCAAGUUCAGUUAUUAAUAUACUGACUUAAAAAUCAACAGUUCCAGAGUUAAAAAUGUCUCUCUCAUAAGAAGAUCUUGAAAACAAAUCCAAAUGAAAUGUUAGUGGGCUAAUGCUACAAAAACACUGUAUUUCACCCUUUCUUUGUAGCACGCUUGGUAUUCUAUAAUCCUACCCACCCCUCCCUUUAAGCCAGCUGUCAUUUUCAUUAAUGGGUAUGCACACUCAGAAGCAAAAAUGAAGUACGAAACAUUUGAACCGAUUCCUUUCACACUAAUGCUGCUUUUUACAUCUUAUGGAACGUGAAGAGAAGCAGGAAAAGGACAAUGUUAGCAGUUCUGACACUUCCAAUCCACCUUACCUCCAACUGCAAGACUCAUGAGGCAGCAUAUCAAAAGUUAUUUCACCCAGCAAGCUUAGUAUUGACCAAUAUUUAAUAUAACAAGGAGCAUUGUGCAACUUCCCCAAGGUGAUUAGGCAAUUUAUAAAGCCAUUACAAAGGCCUAUCCAAGAGAAAAGCCAUAACAUUUUGUGCCUUCACUUGUUUAAGAAAUUGCCUAAUUUCAGAUCCGUCUCCACCAAAGCUUUUCAGGAUUCUAAGCCCCAGGUCAAAAGAAAAGAUCAAAUCUUCUGCAUCUACAGAAGAAAAUAGCCACAGUACAUUAACCACUACUCACCCAUUUCAUUUUAAAAAGAGGCCAGCCCUUAGCUCUUCUCCAAUGAGUUUACACAUGGGGCCAAUUUCAAGGCAAGACAAGGAUACUCUGCAACUGCUGGCCCACUUUGAAUGACUGAACCCCCUACACCCUUUGCUUUUGAAUUAAGCCAUGUGGUAAUACAUAUACAUUAAUGACAGGAAUCACAACACAUUCUUAAGAUUUAGAUGAUGUUCGUGCAGUUAAAAGAAAAAAAAAAGAGGUAAAAAUACACAUUAUGGGUAUAUAUGUUUAAAAAAAAAAUCUGUAUUCAAAUACAGCAUCCUGCUAAAGUUUCAGAACCUACUCAGAUUUGAAUGCUCUUUGGGCAGAAUACAAUACAGCACAGGUGAUCAACCAGUAAGUAAAAGAGGUGUUUGCAUAACCAAAGAGCCCUAACCUAGAAUAAUCCAUAGAACCUAAACAAGCGUUUUGAUAUACUUUAUUCUGAAAGAAUGCAUCAUUUCUAAGCUGCGUUGUUACAUGCCUUGUGUGCAAGUUACAAGGAGGCAAAAAAGAAAAAUAAACUGUUUCCAUGUAGAAAGAA